AUGAGAACUUGCCCCUCGGGGUAGAUCUCCCACCCUCUGUGAACAUAUACCAUGUUGCUUUGGCAGGCCCGUCCUCGGACCGCCGGCUCCGGCUGGCCAGCGCCUGCCAGAGGAUUAUCAAACCCUGUCUGUCAGUGUUGUCUGAGUCUAUAUAUAAUUAUCA
rnacentral:misc_RNA from 1 species